AACGAACGCUGGCGGCGUGGAUAAGACAUGCAAGUCGAACGGGAACUUCAGCUGUAGCAAUACAGUUGAAGUUUUAGUGGCGAACGGGUGCGUAACACGUGGGCAAUCUGCCGAGAAGUGGGGGAUAGCUCGCCGAAAGGCGAAUUAAUACCGCAUAUGAUCAGCUAAGACAUCUUAGCGACAUCAAAGCCGGGGCAACCUGGCGCUUUUUGAGGAGCCCGCGGCCUAUCAGCUAGUUGGUGAGGUAACGGCUCACCAAGGCUAUGACGGGUAGCUGGUCUGAGAGGGUGACCGGCCACACUGGGACUGAGACACGGUCCAGACACCUACGGGUGGCAGCAGUCGAGAAUUUUUCUCAAUGGGGCAACCCUGAAGGAGCGACGCCGCGUGGAGGAUGAAGGC
rnacentral:rRNA from 1 species